UCCCAAACCCCUGUGAACAUACCACUUGUUGCCUCGGCGGAUCACCCCGCUCCCGGUAAAACGGGACGGCCCGCCAGAGGACCCCUAAACUCUGUUUCUAUAUGUAACUUCUGAGUAAAACCAUAAAUAAAUCAAAACUUUCAACAACGGAUCUGUUGGUUCAGGCAUCCAUGAAAAACGCAUCAAAAUGCGAUAAGUAAUGUGAAUUGCAGAAUUCAUUGACUCAUCCAAUCUUUGAACGCACAUUGCGCCCGCCAGUAUUCUGGCGGGCAUGCCUGUUCGAGCGUCAUUUCAACCCUCAAGCACAGCUUGGUGUUGGGACUCGCGCUAAUUCGCGUUCCUCAAAUUGAUUGGCGGUCACGUCGAGCUUCCAUAGCGUAUUAGUAAAACCCUCGUUGUUGGUAAUCGUCGCGGCCACGCCGUUAAACCCCAAAUUCUGAAUGUUGACCUCGGAUCAUGUAGGAAUACCCGCUGAACUUAAGCAUAUCAAUAAACGGAGGAAAAGAAACCAACAGGGAUUGCCAUAGUAACGGCGAGGGAAGCGGCAACAGCUCAUAUUUGAAAUCUGGCUCUCGGGCCCGAGUUGUAAUUUGUAUAGGAUACUUUUGAUGCGGUGCCUUCCGAGUUCCCUGGAACGGGACGCCAUAGAGGGUGAGAGCCCCGUCUGGUUGGAUGCCAAAUCUCUGUAAAGUUCCUUCAACGAGUCGAGUAGUUUGUGAAUGCUGCUCUAUGUGGGAGGUAUAUGUCUUAUAAAGCUAAAUACCGGCCAGAGACCGAUAGCGCACAAGUAGAGUGAUCGAAAGAUGAAAAGCUCUUUGUAAAGAGAGUUAAAAAGUACGUGAAAUUGGUGAAAGGGAAGCGUUUAUGACCAGACUUGGGCUUGGUUAAUCAUCUGGGGUUCUCCCCAGUGCACUUUUCCAGUCCAGGCCAGCAUCAGUUUUCCCCGGGGGAUAAAGGCGGCGGGAAUGUGUCUGUUUACGGGGAGUGUUAUAGCCCACCGUGUAAUACCCUGGG
rnacentral:rRNA from 1 species